rnacentral:rRNA from 1 species
UACGGAGGGGGCUAGCGUUGUUCGGAAUUACUGGGCGUAAAGCGCGCGCAGGCGGUCUUCCAAGUCAGUGGUGAAAGCCCGGAGCUCAACUCCGGAACUGCCAUUGAAACUGUGAGACUUGAGGAUGAGAGAGGUGAGUGGAAUUCCCAGUGUAGAGGUGAAAUUCGUAGAUAUUGGGAAGAACACCGGUGGCGAAGGCGGCUCACUGGCUCAUUUCUGACGCUCAGGCGCGACAGCGUGGGGGAUCAAACAGG